rnacentral:tRNA from 4 species
GCCACCUUAGCUCAGUUGGUAGAGCAUCGGUUUUGUAAACCGCAGGUCGUCGGUUCGAAUCCGACAGGUGGCUCUA